rnacentral:rRNA from 1 species
UACGUAGGGUGCGAGCGUUGUCCGGAUUUAUUGGGCGUAAAGAGCUCGUAGGCGGUUUGUCGCGUCGGCCGUGAAAUCUCCACGCUUAACGUGGAGCGUGCGGUCGAUACGGGCAGACUUGAGUUCGGUAGGGGAGACUGGAAUUCCUGGUGUAGCGGUGAGAUGCGCAGAUAUCAGGAGGACACCGGUGGCGAAGGCGGGAUCGCGUGGGCCGAUACUGACGCUGAGGAGCGAAAGCGUGGGGAGCGAACAGG